UACGGAGGGUGCGAACGUUAUUCGGAAUCACUGGGCGUAAAGCGCGCGUAGGCGGCUUGUUAAGUGGGAUGUGAAAGCCCCGGGCUUAACCUGGGAAUUGCAUUUCAAACUGGCGAACUAGAGUGCGGUAGAGGGAGGUAGAAUUUCCUGUGUAGCGGUGAAAUGCGUAGAUAUCGGAAGGAACACCGGUGGCGAAAGCGGCGCGCGGGACCUCUUCUGACGCUGAUGCGCGAAAGCCAGGGGAGCAAACGGG
rnacentral:rRNA from 1 species